rnacentral:rRNA from 1 species
UCGGCCGGGGGGGGCGUGCUUAUACAUGCAGUAGAACGCUGAAGAGAGGAGCUUGCUCUUCUUGGAUGAGUUGCGAACGGGUGAGUAACGCGUAGGUAACCUGCCUUGUAGCGGGGGAUAACUAUUGGAAACGAUAGCUAAUACCGCAUAACAAUGGAUGACACAUGUCAUUUAUUUGAAAGGGGCAAUUGCUCCACUACAAGAUGGACCUGCGUUGUAUUAGCUAGUAGGUGAGGUAACGGCUCACCUAGGCGACGAUACAUAGCCGACCUGAGAGGGUGAUCGGCCACACUGGGACUGAGACACGGCCCAGACUCCUACGGGAGGCAGCAGUAGGGAAUCUUCGGCAAUGGGGGCAACCCUGACCGAGCAACGCCGCGUGAGUGAAGAAGGUUUUCGGAUCGUAAAGCUCUGUUGUAAGUCAAGAACGAGUGUGAGAGUGGAAAGUUCACACUGUGACGGUAGCUUACCAGAAAGGGACGGCUAACUACGUGCCAGCAGCCGCGGUAAUACGUAGGUCCCGAGCGUUGUCCGGAUUUAUUGGGCGUAAAGCGAGCGCAGGCGGUUUGAUAAGUCUGAAGUUAAAGGCUGUGGCUCAACCAUAGUUCGCUUUGGAAACUGUCAAACUUGAGUGCAGAAGGGGAGAGUGGAAUUCCAUGUGUAGCGGUGAAAUGCGUAGAUAUAUGGAGGAACACCGGUGGCGAAAGCGGCUCUCUGGUCUGUAACUGACGCUGAGGCUCGAAAGCGUGGGGAGCGAACAGGAUUAGAUACCCUGGUAGUCCACGCCGUAAACGAUGAGUGCUAGGUGUUGGAUCCUUUCCGGGAUUCAGUGCCGCAGCUAACGCAUUAAGCACUCCGCCUGGGGAGUACGACCGCAAGGUUGAAACUCAAAGGAAUUGACGGGGGCCCGCACAAGCGGUGGAGCAUGUGGUUUAAUUCGAAGCAACGCGAAGAACCUUACCAGGUCUUGACAUCCCGAUGCUAUUUCUAGAGAUAGAAAGUUACUUCGGUACAUCGGUGACAGGUGGUGCAUGGUUGUCGUCAGCUCGUGUCGUGAGAUGUUGGGUUAAGUCCCGCAACGAGCGCAACCCCUAUUGUUAGUUGCCAUCAUUCAGUUGGGCACUCUAGCGAGACUGCCGGUAAUAAACCGGAGGAAGGUGGGGAUGACGUCAAAUCAUCAUGCCCCUUAUGACCUGGGCUACACACGUGCUACAAUGGUUGGUACAACGAGUUGCGAGUCGGUGACGGCAAGCUAAUCUCUUAAAGCCAAUCUCAGUUCGGAUUGUAGGCUGCAACUCGCCUACAUGAAGUCGGAAUCGCUAGUAAUCGCGGAUCAGCACGCCGCGGUGAAUACGUUCCCGGGCCUUGUACACACCGCCCGUCACACCACGAGAGUUUGUAACACCCGAAGUCGGUGAGGUAACCUUUUGGAGCCAGCCGCUAAGGGGAAUAGAAAG